AUACGGAGGGUGCAAGCGUUAAUCGGAAUUACUGGGCGUAAAGCGUACGUAGGCGGUUCGUUAAGUUAGAUGUGAAAGCCCCGAGCUUAACCUGGGAACUGCAUUUAAAACUGGCGAACUAGAGUUGAGUAGAGGGGAGUGGAAUUUCAGGUGUAGCGGUGAAAUGCGUAGAGAUCUGAAGGAACACCAGUGGCGAAGGCGACUCCCUGGACUCGAACUGACGCUGAGGUACGAAAGCGUGGGUAGCAAACGGGAUUAGAAACCCUAGUAGUCC
rnacentral:rRNA from 1 species